CAUCCUUUUGGGCUGAUUAAGAGUGCAAGGGACUCUGGGCACAUUGGCAGUGCUUUGUUCUUAAUCGGAUGGGAGCCAGUGUGGUGUAGUGGUGAGCAUGUUGGACUAGGACCUGAGAGACCAGGGUUCAAAUCCCUGCUCAGCCAUGAAGCCCACAGGGUAAUUAUGCAUCAGUCACUAUUUCUUAGCCUAACAGGGUUGUCGAGAAGGCAAAAUGGAGAAAGAGGUGUUUGCCACCUUUUGAACUCCUCGGGGGAAAGCCAAAGUAUAUAAGUAAUCUUAAAAUGAUUAAAUGAAUCUGGGUGGAAUCUUUGCUCUCUCAAGCAGAGAGGACCUGGUAUAGAACUGGCAGUGUCGCCUAGGGGUGGGAAAACAUCCCGACAGCCGACAAUCCUUGGCAUUAAAAUAUAAAUUAUUGGUUUGUUUUGCCUUUUGUGCUCUUCGUCUGAUUGACGUAUAUGAUGGUGGCCAGUAUUAAAUUCACUUUUUGUUCUGUUUGUUGAUUUUAGUGUUACAAUGUUAUCUGCUUCAUAGCAUGCCAUUUUUGUUUUAAAUUGCUUAGUGUUCAUUUUGUAGAGAACUUGGGUUAUGAGACAAUUAAAAUAUACAAUAAAUACUGAGUGUUCAAUGCACUUCUCAUUUAUUAUCUCAGUGAUCCUUUCAGUUGCCUAUAAGGUAGGCCAGUAUCAUUGUCCCCAUACUGCACAUUAGAAAUGGAAAUACAUUAACUUGCCUAAGGCCUCUAGGACAUUCACAUGGUGGAGAUAAUAUAUGAACUGAGGAAUUCCCAGCUCACUGAACAAAACUUAUAUUUAAUUAUUGCAUUUAUACCCCACCUUUUUCUAGGAUUGCCAUACAUCCAGAAUUUCCCUUACAUACCCAGAAUAUUGCAGUCUAAAGCAGUGUAGCAACCAAUGUUGGCAGUGUCAUUUGGCACUCAAAAAUAGCUCAACAACUUUGGGCAAAAAAAAAAAAAGCUCAACAACUCCCCCCCUUUUUGAAAUAUGGUAACCCUACUUUUUUUUUCUGUAUAGCUCACGGUGGCUUACAUGUUCACCCUCUCCUCAUUUACUCCUCACAACAACCCUGUGAGGUUGGUUAGGCUGAGAGUGAGUGGCAGGCCCACCAUCACCCGGUGAGCUUCAUGGCCAAGUGAGGAUCGAAACCUGGUCUCCCAGGUCCUAGUCUGAUACUCUAAGCACCACACCUCACUGGCUCUCACUUGCCACGCGGACACUAUAUAGUUCCUUCUUCUGUCAGUCUAGAGAGGAUAAAAUAGCAGAGGUUUUUGAGGGCAGGGUGAAGGGAUGGGACAAGAUACUAAGAGUUUCCCUAAACAUCUGUAGGAGCUUUGUUUGUACAUGGGCUGGAUUAGGCUCAGUUACCAGAGCUCUUUCUCCUUUUGCUCUUUUUCACUUUCCUUUCCUCACAGCCCCUUUUUCAGAUAAAUAGAUGACACAUAGUCUACACAGCUAUGCAACAGCUCCCUAAUACUAUAAUAGCAUAAACACAAAGGAUCCUUUACAUCUGUGGGGAGAGGGGCCCACAUUACAAACAUUAGGAAUGUCCCCCCAUUGAAAAUACUGGGACUCUCACCUCUGAGUAAUUGUGCAUAGGAUUGGGUUAUAAAGAUUAACAUCAGUAGCUUUCCCCAGGGAACUCCAGAAUUGUAGUUCUGUAAAGGGCUCGGGUUUUACCACAGAUGUCGCUGCUUCCUUUCAAAAUGAUGUUUCCCAGGAUUACUUCCCUGGAAGGGAACCAGGGUAUAAAUUAUGUCAGGUUUACAUAUAAGCGCAGGCACGCCCAUAGCCUGUUCUGCCUUUCAGUUACACGCACUUUGAAAGGGAAGAAAUAGGAUCCAUUACAAAACAAAGACCAUCUCUGAAGACACCAGCAGCAUCAAAGGCAGCUCCGCCUAGAGUGCAUUGCAGUAAUCUUGUCUUAUCAGAGCAUGGUGUACUGUGACCAAGUAAUGUCCAUCCAAAAAUGGCAUAGUUGGCAAACCAACUCUAGCUGGAAAUAGGCACCAAGGCCACCUGGGCCUCAAGCGACAAUGUUGGCCCCAGGACUACUCCCAAACUAUGAACCUGCUCCUUCCAGGAGUGCACAACCCCACUCAGAACAGGCUGCCUUCACACCUCCUGGUCUCAUGAACCUGGAACAUGUAACACUUCUGUCUUUCAGGAUUCGAUUUCCACUUCCACGUCCAGCCCAUCCCUGACUCCAAAAGCCUGUUUAGCAUCUCUCCUGAUUUGGCCUCACAGUUUUUACAAACUAGCCAACAUAAAAAGAGUGGUUUGAAUUUUAAGGUAGUGACAGCUCCUUCACCUUGGUUAAGGAGAUCUGGGCUCACAUGUAACACUAAGGCUGUGUCACACUACUGUUUACUCAGACUUCGCUGGUGUUUGAAGCUGCAUAUGCAUGAUGUUAGCCACAAUUCAUGUGUAUCCUGUAGUUUCUUGAGAAAUGCUGCCGUUUGUUGUAUUUAAAGCAGCUUCUGCCUGAUUUGAAAACAUAAGCUGUGGUGUUUAUAUUGGAGGUAACCAUUGCACAUAUGCAGAUGACAGCUUCAUUGGAGUUCGCAGGGGUUGUAAACACAGCAAAACCAAACAGUUAAAGCACUUUAGGUGAAUACAUCCCCACCCAAUUUCUGGCGUGUUCAACAGUGUGCAUAUAAUGAAUAUGUGGCUUGAAACAGCAGACAACCUUGCAUUUCAAGCCACUAAUGAAUACACAGCCUUAGCUACAACACUAGGUAAGGUUUAUAAACCAACUAAAAAGCUUGGUUAAUGAGCAACCCUUCAGAAACCUUUGUUAACCUGCUGAGAUGGGUUCAUACAUGGCACUAAGCCACAGUUUAAUACACCAUGUUUUGGGGUUAUGUGUGAACCAGGCCAGUGAAGAAAGCAGGCACCUCGUUUUGCAUGCUCAAAACAGGAACUUGCCUUCAGAUAGUAUGUAGUAUCACUCUUGAUGCUACAACUACUAGUUACAAGAUGUGGGGAGGGCCACACUCUGGGAUACCCACUUAUUUCUCCUUUCAAAACCACUAUGCAGUUUUAAAGGCAGCACUAAAAAAGGCAGAUGGGGGCUAGAAUGAAAUAGGGAACCAGGAAGUGAAAAAAAGGAACUAUGAAGAAACUUCACCCUCCCUUGGGUACUUGCUUCCUGUUUCCAUCUUCUUCCCCUUAAAGAAAUAUGCUGAAAUUGUGCAGUCAGAAUCAUUUGCUUCUUUUUUUUAUUUUGGGGUGCACCACUUUGGGAACUACAGAGCUGGAAAAAUGUCAUACAGAUGGAAAUAAUAAAUUAAAAAGAGAAAGCUCUUCUCACCCAGGCUUGAGUUCCCACCUGCUUUCUGCUUCGCCCUCCUUGUUAUCUCUUUAUUCUGUCCUCAAGAGGCACAGAUUCCUGACCCUUCCCUCCCCCUUAACAGCCACUCGAUGCCUCUUUCAGGACAUAACUGAAUCCGCCCCACUGCAUUAGCCGAAGUGUUGCCCUUUCACGGAUCCAGGCACAAGGCCAGUGGCCUCCCACCCUGCAGGCGGCAAGGCUGUGAACAGAUCGGUAUAUUUACAAACACCUCUCUGCUCUGCUUUGCAGCCACAGCAGCUGCUACUAUGCCAGGGUGACAAGGGUGGAAAGAUCCAUUUCUAGACCCCUGACAUUCACUGCCAAACCACCAACAUUUUCUCCUCCCGCUCCCCUUCUUUGGUGAAUGGAUUUCAGCAGGUCUUACCGCAUUGGUUUCAGCAGUCCAAUUGUCAGCGCUGAGCGGUCCCCGAGGAACACAGAGACAAGGCAGAGCUGAUGGAUGUGUUACUGAUCAGGGCAACACCUGUGCAGGGAGGCACGUGCCUUACCCUCAACUUUCCCUUUAAGAAAGGAAUAAUUCUAAGCAAGGAGUUUCUACAUGCUGCUGAAGUUGAAGGGGAAGGAAAUUAACAUGCUGAUUUCCCUAAUUCAAAUUUUCAAUUGCAAAAUUGCACAUUUAUAAUCCAACAUUGUUGGGUUUUUUAAGAUUAUUGUUUAAAAAGUAUCUUCUUACAUUUUAGGAUACUGAUGAAUUUAGUGUGUUUAGGUAGUGAGAGGGGAGAGUUAUAAGUUGUCGAGUUUGCCAUUAUUACCUUAGAGUUUAUCACCUUUUAAUUCUGUUGUGUUUUUUAAGCAUCCUCCCCCAAAAUCAUUUUUUAAACAAAAUUUCAGUUCUGAACUCCCAAAACUCGUGAAUAUAUGUAUCAUGUUGUUUCAGUUCAUGAAGCCAUCAAUCAUCCAGAGAUUCCCAGAAUGUUUUAACAAGCGCUUUCUCUUCCGAGGGAACACUGGGGAUUGUAGCUCUGGGAGUGGAACAACUCUCGGUACCCUUAACAAACUACACUUCCCAGGAUUCUUCGGAGGAAGCCAUGGUUGUUUAAAGUGGUGCCAUAGUGCUUUAAAUGUAUGGUGUGAAUUUGACCUUUGGCUAAUAAUGCCCAGGAAUGACCCGCCCCCCUUCAAAUAGGCUGGCCCUAUUUGGAAUUGGAUGAGGGCCAAACUUGCUAUUGCCCUAAACUCAUUAAUUUCAAACCAUGUCAAUGUUGUUUUUAAUAGAAGCAGGAGGUUACUUUGGUCACAUGGGGAAGGGAGGCUUUUUUUAAAAAAAUCUAAUGUGGCUUAAAUUUUGCUUUUGGAUUGAUGCUGUUUUGAGGGAAAGUACAUCAAAGAAACUACAGCAUAUACGUGGAUUGUGGCUAACGGCUUCAAACACCAGCAGUGGGAGUGCACUACAACCAGGGUAAAUGAUAAUGUGUACACAACCUAUGCCUGAAUUCUGCCUUUGAGUCCUCAAGUCAAGUACCUGAUAAACCUUGAUGGGGUUUUCAAGCUUUCAGUUUGCUCAAACAGUCCAAUUGAAUACUCAGUAUCCAUCAUCUUCCCCAAAGGGAAAAAGAAGUCUUCUUUUGAAUUUCCACAGACCCUCCAAGUGCCCCUAUUUUCCAGGGACAGUCCUGGAUUUACAGAAGCAGCCCCAGUUUCUGGUUUGAUGCCAAAAUGUCCCACUUUUCUUUAGGACAUUCCUAUUUUCACUGGAGAGAUGUUGAAGGUUACAAAGUUAUGUGAACCACACACCCCUCAAGCCAAAGAGAUAAGUAACUAUACAACUUUUAAAAGGCGUCUGAAGGCAGACCUGUAUGGGGAAGUUUCUAAUGUUUGAUGUUUUAUUAUGUUCGUAUAUAUGUUGGAAGUGGCUGGGGCAACCCAGUGAGAUGGGUGAGGUAUAAAUAAUAACAUUAUUGUUAUUUAUCAUGAAAUUGCAGAGUUGGAAGUGACCUCCUCCUAUUUUCAUUGGAGAAAUGUUGGAGGAUAUGCUUCCAGUGUUAAAAGGACCUUCCCCAACUCUUACCCUGCUGCUCCCCUCAUGGUACUAUUUGUGGGGGGGGGGUGACAGGUAGGGAGGGGAGAGGCCAAGUGUGAACCACAUUCUGAGGCAUAUCCAACUCCCAAUAGGGCCAACCUAUUUAAAGGUAGCUCAUACUUUGAGCUUCCACCAUUCAAAGUCUCAUCCCAAAGUUCCUGCUUCCAUGUUGGAAAUGUCACAUAUGAGUAAGACAGCCCUUUUGGAUUAAAACUGGUCAACCAUUGGCCAAGGAGUGGGUACCCAUUGAGUGCUGAGUUGACAAGUGGGUGGGGCUCAGAUUCUGUGUUCCAUCACUUGCCUUUCUGCAUGUUCAUACUGAAGACUUGAUGUGAGCUGGACUUCUACCUGCCUGUACACUCCCUGCGGUUACCUGACCAAUCAGGGCUCCCUGACAGGAGUACCUAUAUAACAAAUUAACUUGUGGGCAGCCAUGUCAGUCCACUAGAAAAAAUUCAAACAGCAGCAGUAUCAUCAUACUUUUAUUAGGACUAGCUAAGAAGUCACAAAGAAGUGUACAAACUUUUGUGUUCAUCAUAAUUCUUCUUGUGCAUACAUGUUAAGCAAAAUAAUUUAAAACGAGGAGGGAAGAUUUAUUUAGGCAAUAUGUAGUUGUUGUAGUUGGGGGCAUACAGGGGACAUACGUCAUACAGAUUUGAUUAUGUUAGACGGUGCCUGAUAUGGAUUCUAGUUUCUGUGAAUUGCCACACAGAGUACGUACAUCUAAAUUAUCUAGCCUUCUGUACUCAGACGAUGAGCCUUGCAGGCCUGAAGUAGUAAGAUCUCAGAUGCAGAAGGGCAUGCUGGGGUGAAAGAGGUCUUAAAACACUUUAAUAAAAACCAACAAUUAUUCUAAUCUGUUUCUAGCAGUGUUUCUGGUUGUUGUUGUUUAGUCGUUUAGUCAUGUCCGACUCUUCGUGACCCCAUGGACCAGAGCAUGCCAGGCACUCCUGUCUUCCACCGCCUCCCACAGUUUGGUCAGGCUCAUGUUUGUAGCUUCGAGUGUUUCUGGUAGAGUCCAUUAUAAGGUAUAAAUAAAUACAAUGGAUAUGCAUUUUAGAUGGGCACUUAAAUUCCCAGCACCCAUCUAAAAUUAAUCACUAGCUUUGCUAAUGUAAAGGACCAUCACCAUUGGCAUCCAGUUGCCCACUGUGAGAAAUGGGAUGCUGGGCUAGAAAGGUGUUUUGUCUGAUCCUGCAAGACUCUUUUUAUUUCGGGUUUUUAGUUGGUCUUAAUAAAUACAUUUGGUUAUUGUUGCUGCUUGCACCAUAAAUGUGUUUACAAAUGUAUUUGUCCUCUAGAAUUUAGAUAAUUUGAGGAGCGCACAAAAUAUUUUAAAUGUACCCAUCGGGGCGUGGAGGGAGGACAGUAGUGAGUGAAGAUUUGCAAUAUGGUGAUUAUUCCAUUAGAACAACAGAACUUCAUCACAGCACAGAAAUUGAUGGGACAAAGAAAUUUGCUGAUAUUUCUAGGAAUGCAUUCUAUGUGCAUUAGUGAUGAGAAAUUAGCUGAAUGCUGGAACAUAAUUGGCAUCAACACCAGUGCUUUUUUUUUUUCAGGGGGUACUCAAGGGUACGCAAUACCAACACCUCUUUUUUGUUGUUAAAAAGUGUGGCACUUACUGUAACAACUUCAUGGUGAGUACUGGCACCUUUUUUUUUUAAUAGAAAAAAGCACUGCUCAUCACCUUUUGAUUCCAUCCCAAUAGUCUAUUUUAAAAUUUUCCAUCAUCUCUUUCUUUCUCUCUCUAUACAGUGGUACCUCGGGUUAAGUACUUAAUUUGUUCCAGAGGUCCGUUCUUAACCUGAAACUGUUCUUAACCUGAAGCACCACUUUAGCUAAUGGGGCCUCCCACUGCCGCCACGCCGCCAGAGCACGAUUUCUGUUCUCAUCCUGAAGCAAAGUUCUUAACCCGAGGUACUAUUUCUGGGUUAGCGGAGUCUGUAACCUGAAGUGUAUGUAUCCUGAAACGUAUGUAACCCGAGGUACCACUGUAUGUUGUGUAAUUGUGUCUUUCUUCCUUGCAAAUGAGCUGCUGGGUAUGUUAUAUAUCUUUUUUUUAAAAAAAGAAAGAAAGAAAGAAAUAGAAAAGUUCACACAAAUGGAAUCCACAUCACUAACUACUGUAGGUGAUCCAGAUCUCUUUAUACAAAGUGGGGAACACAUAUCGGGGAUAUAAAAUAGUCAGGGAAGAUGUCUACUUAAUGUUGGAUAAGGUUGGCAGGCAGUGGAUGGUGGUGGAGGCAAUGGAAAUGAGGUACCUGAGCAACUGGUCGAUUUGUGGAUGCCUUCUGCUUUCAAACUUUAAAAAUGCUAUCUGUGAUAAACGGAAAGAGGAAGAGAGUUGCGAAACAUUUCCCCAAAGGUCAUUCGCAGCAGUAAGGGACAUUGUGGUAAAAUUAGUACCUCUUUUAUGAGGUACUAACUGCAGUGUGAAAUAUAGAGCAUGAAUCAAGACAGGGCACCACUGUCUUAAAUGCAGGCCGCAUAGCUUACUAUGACUAUUUACUGGAAAAAACAUUUUGUUGUAAGGAAUCUUUAAAAGAAGUAGGGAGAGGAACAGUAGAACCAGUAUCUUGAGAAAAGUGCGUUCAACUGAGUUUUGCUCUUAGGCCUUUUCCUUCUUUCUUUAAAAGGCCUUUUCCUUCUUUCUUUAAAAGAAGUUAUGCAUAUCACUGAAAUCAGCAAGACUUAAGUGAAACCAUGACUUAAUUUUCCACAUUGAUUUCAAUGGGGCCUGAGUGCAACUAAGUUAGUCUGGAUCCAACCCAGUAUUUCAACAAUCCCUACAGCAGCCCGUCAAAGAUAGACUAGUACUGUAUUAGAUUCCUAUAUUGCAGACACUAAAAGCUUUCUUAAGGACACCUAGUGGACUCAGGUGAAAUGUGAACCUGGCUGGCAGCCUAUAACUUUUGCCACUGUACACUCAGGGCUCAUCCACAUUUCCGCUUCCCUGCGAUGUUCCCUGGGGAAAACCCACUGUUUACUGCUGAAUCGGAACAAACAUCAAUCGGGUUUUCUCUGGAUUGACGUUUGCUCCAAUUCAGUGCUAAAGAGCAGCUUUUCCUCAGGAAAGCAGUGGUACAAAACCACUCAGAGCUGUGCCUAGAAAACAUGGGACAAGCGGGAAGCCGCUAGGACCCAUCCUUUCCAAUGUGCAGGAUGAGUAGAAGUGUGAAUGAGCCCUCAGAGAAAAGUGACUCUCAAUUCAGAGCAUGAAAACUAUACAGAUAAUGAAAUUAAAAAUACCACGUAUACAUGAUAAAGGUUUAUGUAUGGUUGCACUAUGAAAGUUUGAAACUGUAAAUGUCCUUAAAAGCUUUUAACACUCCUCACAUCCAAGGAAUGCCAAGCCUUUCCCAAAUGAUGUGACGAAGAUGGGCAGAAGGUGGGCAAUAUC